GAUGAACGCUGGCGGCGUGCUUAACACAUGCCAGUCGAACGGAAAGGCCCAAGCUUGCUUGGGUGCUCGAGUGGCGAACGGGUGAGUAACACGUGGGUGAUCUGCCCUGCACUUUGGGAUAAGCCUGGGAAACUGGGUCUAAUACCGGAUAGGACCAUCGUUUAGUGUCGGUGGUGGAAAGUUUUUCGGUGUGGGAUGAGCUCGCGGCCUAUCAGCUUGUUGGUGGGGUAAUGGCCUACCAAGGCGUCGACGGGUAGCCGGCCUGAGAGGGUGUACGGCCACAUUGGGACUGAGAGACGGCCCAGACUCCUACGGGAGGCAGCAGUGGGGAAUAUUGCACAAUGGGCGCAAGCCUGAUGCAGCGACGCCGCGUGGGGGAUGACGGCCUUCGGGUUGUAAACUCCUUUCGCCAAGGACGAAGCGUUUUGUGACGGUACUUGGAGAAGAAGCACCGGCUAACUACGUG
rnacentral:rRNA from 1 species